rnacentral:rRNA from 1 species
CCCGGGAGGCUGCAGUGGGGAAUAUUGGACAAUGGGCGAAAGCCUGAUCCAGCCAUGCCGCGUGUGUGAAGAAGGCCUUCGGGUUGUAAAGCACUUUCAGUGGGGAAGAAAGCCUUGGGGCUAAUACCCUCGAGGAAGGACAUCACCCACAGAAGAAGCACCGGCUAACUCCGUGCCAGCAGCCGCGGUAAUACGGAGGGUGCGAGCGUUAAUCGGAAUUACUGGGCGUAAAGCGCGCGUAGGCGGUCUGAUAAGCCGGUUGUGAAAGCCCCGGGCUCAACCUGGGAACGGCAUCCGGAACUGUCAGGCUAGAGUGCAGGAGAGGAAGGUAGAAUUCCCGGUGUAGCGGUGAAAUGCGUAGAGAUCGGGAGGAAUACCAGUGGCGAAGGCGGCCUUCUGGACUGACACUGACGCUGAGGUGCGAAAGCGUGGGUAGCAAACAGGAUUAGAUACCCGAGUAGUC